rnacentral:rRNA from 1 species
AUCCUGGCUCAGAUUGAACGCUGGCGGAAUGCUUUACACAUGCAAGUCGAACGGUAGAGGGGGCAACCCCUUGAGAGUGGCGAACGGGUGAGUAAUAUAUCGGAACGUGCCCAGUCGUGGGGGAUAACGUAGCGAAAGUUACGCUAAUACCGCAUACGAUCUAUGGAUGAAAGCGGGGGAUCGCAAGACCUCGCGCGAUUGGAGCGGCCGAUAUCAGAUUAGGUAGUUGGUGAGGUAAAGGCUCACCAAGCCGACGAUCUGUAGCUGGUCUGAGAGGACGACCAGCCACACUGGGACUGAGACACGGGCCCAGACUCCUACGGGAGGCAGCAGUGGGGAAUAUUGGACAAUGGGCGCAAGCCUGAUCCAGCCAUGCCGCGUGCAGGAUGACGGUCCUAUGGAUUGUAAACUGCUUUUGUACAGGAAGAAACACUCCCUCGUGAGGGAGCUUGACGGUACCGUAAGAAUAAGCACCGGCUAACUACGUG